UACGUAGGGUGCAAGCGUUGUCCGGAAUUAUUGGGCGUAAAGAGCUCGUAGGCGGUUUGUCGCGUCUGCUGUGAAAACCCGAGGCUCAACCUCGGGCCUGCAGUAGGUACGGGCAGACUAGAGUGCGGUAGGGGAGAUUGGAAUUCCUGGUGUAGCGGUGGAAUGCGCAGAUAUCAGGAGGAACACCAAUGGCGAAGGCAGAUCUCUGGGCCGUAACUGACGCUGAGGAGCGAAAGCGUGGGGAGCGAACAGG
rnacentral:rRNA from 1 species